ACACGUGGACGCGUCGGAUCCGGGCCUCUGACGUAGGGCCUCUGACGUCACCGCUUGGGGUCCUCCCAUAGGUCCGGGGAGACACGUGGACACGUCAGGUCCGGCCCGAGGGGAGAUGCGUCCCGCGGCUCCCUUCACGUCCCUUCCUCGCUUCUCUUCAUCUCACCUGGCCAGGGCUUUCCGGACCUCAGUGGGGCCGGAAAUUAGGCGAAGGGGGCGCUUGUUUAGGUGAAGCGCGAAGGAUGGAAUUGGACACAGGAAUGUGACUCACCCCCUCUAGGCCAUGGAGGUUCACGUGGCGCCAAGUGUCCGGGGUGAGGCGCUCCCCGCGGCCGCUGGCUUUCAGGUGGUUCGCCUUUACGCACCUUUUCUCUGCCUCCCGUGAGUCACGUGACGCGCGGAGCCCGUCAGGUCCCCGGGGAAUGUUUCUGUGACUGACCGCAGUCUGGCGGUUGACACCUUCAUUGCCUACACGAUGGCCUACUCACCGUUUUAGCUGGGGUCCUGACCUGUUCGCCCAGAAAAUUGCUAUCGGGAGGGAGGGUGGAGGGUGGAAACAUAGGGGAGAGUCUCAGGGCUGUUUCUGAACACUGCUUCUUCUACGCUGGCUUCUGGAGGCACCAGAAGGUGCUCACUUUUGGAGCUAGGGAAGACGGGGGCCAGUAGGGCAGUUUCCACCAGUGUCCUUCAUUCCUGUUGCAGCUGUUAGUCUGGUGGUGUGCAGCCAUAUGAACUUUGUACCUCCCGCUGAGACUUUCUGCAGUGCUUCCUGCAUGUGGUCUUACCCACCACCAUCAUCUGGUCAGUUUGACCCACCUCCUCAGCUAAGGCUUAAAUCCCCUUCCACUUCCUUUUCCUUUUUUUUCCUUUUUUUUUUCUUUUUCUUUUUUCCACUUACUUUUUUACUAGGCUCCCUUCAGGCUGAUAAAAACAGACAGGUCCUUCAAAUCGGGCGGAGAAGCAAAGUUCAAAAUUAUAUUUGGAAUAUUUCAAGUAGAGUAAAAAAUAUUUCAGCAAUGCAGAUGAUUUGUGUUGUGAGUGAUGGUGUUGGUAAGAUGUCUUGAUAAAAGUAAGUUAAUGUCUUGAGUAAUUUAUGUUCCAUGGUUUCUGAUAACUGUGCAGUCAGUUACUGGUGAGAGCCAUACACUAAUGGACUUUUUGAUUCUGUAAGGCAAGAAAAAUUUGACAAAAGAACCCCUCAGCUAUCCACAAACAUUUAUUUCUAGUCAUUUUCAGUGGUCUUUUGCCCUUGUUUGAAAAUAUGGAAGAAAAGUGGGUACCUGAGAUAAUUCACCAUUGUUUGAAGACUCUUUGUUUGUCAGAAACGAAAUUGAUCUCAGAAAUGCCAUUCCCUCUGUUAUUGAUCAGCUUGCCAAGGACACAGAAACCUCUCACUCUGCAGACUGCUGAAAAGCUGUUCUGUGACCGAAGAUUGUUGAAUACAUGCAGUGUUCUGCAUUCACACAGAAAAACCUAAAGGAUGCAUUUGACAAAGCACUAUUGAUUGUCUUGGAGACUCUGGAACUGAAGAAAAGCCGCAGCUUUAAGAAAAGAAACGUCCACGCUGCAACAGUUGACUGCCUCUGCUCUGCCCUGAACUCCCUGAAGAAGUAAGUGGUCUCCGGGCAGCUGUUGUAAUCCCUGAAGUACCUGUGUUAAACCCCUUAGUCUUUGUUUCUCUAAAAAGUGUCUGCAUUCAGCUGAUGGAGUUUGGGCCAAACCAGUGAGUAAAGGCCCUGAGCCAAUUUAAUGUACCAUUCUAAAAAUGUAUAAUUUAAAUGAGACGUUACAUUUUUGUGCUGUGAAUGCUUAUGAAAUGUUAGAGAAAAUUUUUUUAAUGUCCAAAGUGUUCCCUGUGUAAAUAGUGUCUGUUGGUUGACAAAUCAAAAGUUUGUCUUGAUGGCUUUGUUGCAGUAUAUCAGAUGCUUGCCAGCAGGUGUGACUAAAAACGCUGUCAAUUUAGAGCCUUCUUGCAAAAAAAAAAAAGGUUUGGGGACAAUGAAGGUGAAUUUACCACACUAAAGUCCUCCAGCAGUCAUAGGAAAAAAAUCCUCUUACCAAGUAAAGGACUGUGUUUCUUAUAAAGCUGCUAUGUCUUCUCAGACAUGUAACUCCUGCAAAAAAGUUGACCUGCUUAUCUGUGGUAAAAGAGGACAUACCAUUGUGGCCCUUGAAACUUGUCUGUAUUGUCUUUUAUUUAGUGAAAGGUUCACACACCAAAGUGGUUGUAACUGAUACCUCUGAAUAUAUUGUGGGAACAGAUGUGUUGCAUGUGUAUAAUACUUCUCUUGGUUGUUAGGAAUGUUCCCAGUGGGGAAAUGCCACAAAUUAAACAGUGCUAGUAAGAUGAGUACACAACUAGGAGCGCACCUGGUGGUGUUCAGCCCAGUUAUGUGAUACCAGUAGAGCAGGACAGGAUGCCAGGAUAACUGUAGUGACUAAGGAAGUGGUAGUAAGAGAAUACGUAAAGAAACUAUCUAGCAGGCUAUACAGACACCUCUCCAAAUUUGAUUGGCUAGUUCUCAUGAGCCUUUUGAGCCUAUCAGUGCUUGACAGUUCGGUAGACUGCAUCUGUGUCACUAGGCAGUGGUGCCCACUAGGGUUUUGGACACAGCAUUUUCCUAAUACCACUGCCUGGUAUACUGCAUUUGAGGGGCAAUUAUUGGCCUGUUAUUGAGUGCUGUUGGACACUGAGAAACUAAACAAUAGCAGAUGAUGUUAUCCUCUGACAUGCCCAUUCUGGAAUGGGUCAAAAAUAAAAAUGCCAACAAAGUGGGUAUUGCCCAGCAAGCAUGCAUUAUUAAAUGGAAAUGUAAGUAAAGACUUACAGGAAAGAAGUAAGACUUGGUGUAUCACUUUUCUAUUGCUGCUGUAACAAAGUAGCACAACACAAAUUUGUCUUAACAGUUCUGAAAGCUAGACGUCCAAAAUAGGUUUCAGUAGACUGAAAUAAAGGUGUUGGCAUGGCUGCCCUCCCUCUAGAGGCUCUAAGGAAGAAUCAGUCUCCUUGUGUUUUCCAGUUCUGGAGGGUUUCCUUAUUCCUUGGCUCAUGACCCCUUCCUCACAUCAUUUCAACCUCUUGCUUCCAUCACAUCUCCUACUUCCUCUUCUUUAGUCAAAUCUCCCUCUGGCCUCUUUCUAAUAAGGACAUUUGUGAUUACAUUUAGAGCCCAAAUGGAUAAUCCCCAUAUCAAGAUCCGUAACUUAAUCACACCUGCAAAAUCCCUUUUACCACUUAAAGUAACAUUCACAGGUUACAGGGAUUAGGACCUGGACAUCUCUGGGGGCUGUUAUUCAACCUACCACACUGGGCAUUAAUAGAAUCUCAUAGCUACAUAGUUACUCCAAAGAUUUGGCUAUCUCAUGCAGGAUCUAUGCCAUCACCUUAGGCUUCUUGGGGGCCUGGGUACACUUAGGCUCCUAAGGAUGCCUAAGCCUCAUGGAUGUGCUAGCUAAGUUAAAGGUCACUGGGGUUGUGUAGGAAAGAGUUAACAUAGCAGAUCUGAGCCUGCUUAUCCUUAGGAAGCUCUGCUUACAAGGUUGGCCUUUUGCUGGUGUCUGAGGUGUGAUUUGAGGGUUCCCACCGUCCACAGAACUGAUAAGAGUGGCUCAUUGUACCUAAAAUGUACAGCCAGUGUGGAUUAUGGUGAAUACCUGCUUUCCUCCUGGGAGUCUGGAAUUUUGGUAUGUGUUAGGCAGAAUGUACCUACAUGACCGGUCCCCCAAUAAAGCCUUGGACUCUAA